rnacentral:rRNA from 1 species
CAUAAAAAUUUAUAGUAGAAUUUUAUUUUUUAGUCAAAAAGCUAAAAUUUAUUUAAAAGACGAGAAGACCCUAUAAAUCUUUAUAUUUAGGUUAUUAUAAUUGUAUAGAUUUUUUUUGUUAUAAUAAUUAAUAAUAUUUUAUUGGGGUGAUAUUAAAAUUUAAUGAACUUUUAAUUAUUAAAAACAUUAAUUUAUGAAUAAUUGAUCCAUUAUUAGUGAUUAAAAAAAUAAGUUACCUUAGGGAUAACAG